CGUGGAACUCGCGGUGACUGGCGAAAAGUGUCUGUAACGGUUGCCGCAAUACGCGAUUCAGCUCUUUGCGAACUCCCGAGAUUCUCUGGUUCGUGCAUAAUCCCAACGAUUGUCUAUCGAUUAGAUACACGGGAAACGAGGACUACCGCGGACACGGCAAAUACAUUUGGACGGCGCCGUGACCGGAGAGCCAAAGACUUUGACGCAU